rnacentral:tRNA from 1 species
GAGGGUAUAGGUCAGUGGUAGAGCACAUGCUUAGCAUGCAUGAGGUCCUGGGUUCAAGCCCCAGUACCUCCA